rnacentral:rRNA from 1 species
UACGAAGGGGGCUAGCGUUGCUCGGAAUUACUGGGCGUAAAGGGAGCGUAGGCGGGUUAUCAAGUUGGGGGUGAAAGCCCGGGGCUCAACCUCGGAAUUGCCUUCAAAACUGGUAGCCUAGAGUAUGAUAGAGGUAUGUGGAACUCCGAGUGUAGAGGUGAAAUUCGUAGAUAUUCGGAAGAACACCAGUGGCGAAGGCGACAUACUGGGUCAUGACUGACGCUGAGGCUCGAAAGCAUGGGGAGCGAACAGG